rnacentral:misc_RNA from 1 species
UGAAGACGUUUGCUGGGAAAUUAUAAUAAUCUAUCAUUUCUGAUAUCUGCAUGUCAAGAUGGCAACUUCCAUUUUCCUCUUGACAUGCCAUUUCCUAUCCUUCGUUUUGCUCUAUGUGCCUUUCAUUUACUUUCUCAACGCAGUCUUAUGCAAAUUCCGGCUAGUUUCCGCCGACGGCCCUCCCACUUAUCCCAUCAUUGGAUGCUUGAUUUCAUUUUACAAAAACCAGAGUCGUCUUCUAGAUUGGUAUACUGAACUGCUUGCAAAAUCAACAACCAACACCAUUGUUGUGAAACGGCUUGGAGCACGCAGAACAAUUGUUACUGCUAACCCGGAGAAUGUUGAAUAUAUGCUCAAAACAAACUUUAACAAUUUCCCCAAGGGCAAGCCUUUCACUGAGAUUCUUGGGGAUUUUCUUGGCUAUGGCAUUUUCAAUGUGGAUGGGGAGCUUUGGCACACACAACGCAAGUUGGCUAGCCAUGAUUUCACAGCUAAAUCACUGCGAGAUUUCUUCAUGAUUACAUUGGAAGAAGAAGUAAAUAAAUGUUUGUUGCCGGUUUUGGGGUCGCUGGAAGAAACAGGAGAGGCGGUGGACCUGCAAGAAUUGUUGAGACGGCUUGCAUUUAAUAUUAUUUGCAAAGUUUCACUGGGGAUUGGUCGCUGUUGCUUAGAUCCUUCUCUGCCUGUUCCUCCUCUUGCAAGAGCUUUUGACAUGGCAUCAGAGAUAAGCGCGAGGCGAGCAGCUGCUCCUUUAUUUGCAAUUUGGAAGAUAAAGAGAUGGCUUGGGAUUGGAUCUGAAAAAAGGCUUAAAGAUGCCGUUGAACAAGUUCAUCAAUAUGUUGCAGAGAUUAUUGUUAAGAGGAAGAAGAUGAUAGUAGAAGGAGCAGAAAAUCAGGGUGAAGAUCUCCUUUCACGGCUCAUAUUGGCUGGCCAUGAAGAGAAGGUGAUAAGAGACAUGAUGAUAAGUUUCAUCAUGGCAGGGAGGGACACCACUUCAGCGGCAAUGACGUGGCUCUUCUGGUUGCUCUCUUGUCAUCCUGAAAUAGAAGAAGAGUUAGUGAAGGAGACGAAAUUUACAACAGAAAGAAAGCUAGAUUAUGACUCGUUGAAGGCGUUGAGAAUGUUAAAGGCAUGUCUAUGUGAAUCAAUGAGGCUCUACCCACCCGUAGCCUGGGACUCGAAGCACGCUCUCGCCGAUGAUUUGUUGCCGGACAAUACUCCUGUCCGAGCAGGAGAUAGGGUGACUUACUUCCCCUACGGGAUGGGGAGAAUGGAAGCACUGUGGGGCAAGAAUCGGCUAGAAUUCAAACCAGAGAGAUGGUUCCUUGAACCAGAAAAGAGAAGCUCGCUGAAGAAGGUAAGUCCUUACAAAUUUCCAAUAUUUCAGGCAGGACCAAGGGUGUGCCUUGGGAAGGAGAUGGCUUUCAUUCAGAUGAAGUACGUUGUGGCUUCCAUUCUCAGGCAGUACGAAAUCAGACCGGUAAGGUCAGACCAUCCACCGGUCUUCGUGCCACGGUUAACGGCUCACAUGGCCGGCGGCCUGAAGGUUGUGGUUAGAAAGAGAUAAGCACGUAGGAUUGACUAAAAUUAAUUAAAUAUAGUUGAUUCAACGCUGCAUGCUUUAGAUAUAAUGGAAAGGUGUAACAUGUCAUUAUCGAACUUAAUUGAGAUGACA